AUGUUCUAUUUUUCUUUUUCGUGCGAAUUCCGGACGUUAAAACAUUAAUCAUACGUCCAAUAGGUAACAGGCAAAACAUAGGCUGACAUUGGAUACAGGGAAGACAAUUAAUGUUGACUACUGGAAUUUCGAAAUAAUGGACAUGUUGGAUAUGGCCAAAAUCUCGUCGUCCCAAAUUCAGACUUUUUAGACACAAAUAUCAAAAGGAAUCUGUCGUCGAGAGAGCAUCAUAUCCUAGAAUGAUUCUACUUCAAAAUGUUUUUUGGUCUAAGGAUAGGUUUCCAAGUAAAAGUGGCAUCGCCUUAACUCCGGAAAUUUCACAGGUUUCCUUCUUAGCUCGAUACAUUCAUUCCAUACACCAAGUAUAGUUGAUUUAAUGAUCAUAGUAACUUCUGAACGGACUAUACCAUAACUUAACCUAAAUCACUGAUUCAUGAAACGAGGCCGAGUUCAGUGAACCAUGUCUGAUGGACAUGCAGACCUUCUUAGAAUCCUAAUGGAUAUACCAAAUAUAGUUAUUCUCAUACUGAUAAGUGAGUAUUUCACAUUAAAAACGAUACUUGUUUUAAAGAAGUCACUCCAUGGAAAUGGGAUCACGGACAAUGGACAUAUGACAGAUGGAAACUUCGUAAUUUUAAAUAUCUACAUAAGCACUGUGAGAGUGACAAAAACGACAAACAAUUACACAACAAUCUACAAAACAAAAAAUAGAAAAUUGACUAGGCUAUAUAUGUCUCUGCCAACACGAAUUUGGUUCUUCUGAAUAAUUCCUUGUAAUAGAAGGGCUUAAUUUUACUUCCAAAAUUACAAUUGUACCUACUAGAAAAUUUAAAUAUCGACCACUGGCACAGCAAACCACAGCUCUACCAAAUAAAAUAAAUCAAAGCGCUAUAAGCUCUGAAGGCAUUUAACCAAAAACCAAGGCAAACAGAAUUAUAAAAACUGUGGCAAUGUUGUUCCAACAUUAAACAAUUAUAUAUUGUACAUUUUUGUUUAUCUAAUGAAUUAAUUAUCUCAGAUGGUGCCAUUAAAACAAAAUACAUAUAUGGUUUGGCGAUAUCUGGCCACAGCUUUUAUUCAUAAUAUGAUAGAUUCAUACAAUAUAUAAUAUAUAUAUAUAUAGAUAGAUAGACCAUAGACCAUGUAUAUGUAGAUAGAUCUAUGGUCGGUUACCCGAAGAUAAUAUGGCAACCAGGUAGAUAGAUAGAUAUAUGUGAAGAUAGAUAUAUAUGAAAAUGUAAAGAUGCACCGUGGGAUACACUGGUGCUUUAAAUUUAGAAAACACCGUGGGAUACACAAGUGUAGUCUGUAUUAUCCAAAAACCUAAAAUUUCAUAGUUAACAUUAAGAUUCUAUGCAGCGAAUUCUGCCAUUUACGGGAAUAUAUUUAUGAUGCUCAAAGUUCAAAUAAAAGUCACUUUUCUCAACAGCAAACGAGUUAACAUCAUCAGUCAAAUCUGUAUCACCACUAUCACCGACACAAACCUGAAAAAUAAAUACAAAAGAGCAGUAUCUUGUUCAAUAAAAAGGAGUGGGAGGGCGGGUUUUCAAGUUUACCGCUUACAAAAUUUAAACAGCUUGCUUGCUGCGAUGAAAUUCUAAAAAGGACUAAAUGACGUCACAGAAUAUAACGUCACACAUGUUGGGUAAAUCUAAAACAUGAAACACAAUCCGUGAGUGGCCCCGGCGAUAACUGAAUUUAAGUCUAUUAACUUAAAUUCCAUUAUCUCAGAUGGUGCCAUUAAAACAAAAUACAUAUAUGGUUUGGCGAUAUCUGGCCACAGCUUUUAUUCAUAAUAUGAUAGAUUCAUACAAUAUAUAAUAUAUAUAUAUAUAUAGAUAGAUAGACCAUAGACCAUGUAUAUGUAGAUAGAUCUAUGGUCGGUUACCCGAAGAUAAUAUGGCAACCAGGUAGAUAGAUAGAUAUAUGUGAAGAUAGAUAUAUAUGAAAAUGUAAAGAUGCACCGUGGGAUACACUGGUGCUUUAAAUUUAGAAAACACCGUGGGAUACACAAGUGUAGUCUGUAUUAUCCAAAAACCUAAAAUUUCAUAGUUAACAUUAAGAUUCUAUGCAGCGAAUUCUGCCACAUUGACGGAGGAAAACAGAGACUCUGUCAACCGCCAUAAAAAAGGGCGGUUCGCUGCAAAGCUGUGAACCAGAUAUGAGAUAAC
rnacentral:lncRNA from 1 species